UGGGGGAUAUUGCACAAUGGGCGAAAGCCUGAUGCAGCGACGCCGCGUGGGGGAUGAAGGCCUUCGGGUUGUAAACUUCUUUUGCUCUGAACAAGGCGCACCAUGGGGUGUGUUGAGUGUAGGGGUUGAUUAGCGCCGGCUAACUACGUGCCAGCAGCCGCGGUAAUACGUAGGGCGCGAGCGUGGUCCGGAAUUAUUGGGCGUAAAGGGCUUGUAGGUGGCUGGUUGCGUCUGUCGUGAAAGCUCAUGGCUUAACUGUGGGUUUGCGUUGGGUACUGUCUGGCUUGAGUGCAGUAGGGGAGGCUGGAAUUCCUGGUGUAGCGGUGGAAUGCGCAGAUAUCAGGAGGAAUACCGGUGGCGAAGGCGGGUCUCUGGGCUGUUACUGACACUGAGGAGCGAAAGCAUGGGGAGCGAACAGG
rnacentral:rRNA from 1 species